AUGCACACACCUGGUCUACAUAUAUUUCUGACUUCCCAAGGACGAGGACAACAAUUGUCGACCGAUAGGCCAGCAGAUGAACUUCGCAACGAACACAUCAAGAUUGCUCACGGGUUAAUGGCAUGUAUAGCUAAAUACUUUGACGGAAGGACGCCGAAGGCAAAGGGAUGGCAGAAUUGGUUCCCCAAAGCUCACCAACGGCCCUUGGGUUUGCAGCAGUUAGGAGAUGAGAUCUACCAAUCAAGGAUGAUCCUUCUUUAUGAAGCUUUGGGAUUAGCUGGGAACAUUGGGCAACUCCCUGCAAAAUUUAAGAUGUGCCAGACUGAUUGCUGA
rnacentral:rRNA from 1 species